AACGCGUCCGCGCUGGAAUCAUCACCGUCACCACCGUUCAACGCCACCGCCCGCCACCGAACAUCAUAUUUUACAAUGUGCACCUUCGAUUCAAUUAUUAGUGAAUUUAAUGGAUUGCUACAGGUUUUCAACGCAUGCUGCACAACUAUUGCAUACCUAUUCAGUAUUAUUGCACUUACGAUUCCUACUUAGCUAUACCUACUCGGUUUCAGUAGUCAAACAUUUCGUUAUGGAGCUAAAUGUUAGCCAGUAACGGCUAAUAUAGAUUUGUCGAAUGAACGAGUUAGAGAAUCCAGCAGAACACCGCGGAAUACCUAUAGAUACACAGAUGUAUAACAAUAUUGCAGUGUUAUGAUAUCACUAUUCUUCAUUUAACUGGUACAGAGCCGCAGAGGUCUGUUAUAUAUAGUUUUUGAUGGCUGACUACUUUGUUAAAUUAAUUUUUUUUUACGUUUGAACUGUUACGCUUCCGACAUAUUUGCAUAAAACAAUGGAAUUAUUAAAACUAAAUUGAAACCUAGCUGUGAACAUUAUACACAUUUAAACGGUCUUCUCUCGGAUAUUAUAUAGGUAUACACACGACGACGACAAACUAAAUACGUUUUACUCGCGGAUCUUCUCCGUCUUGCAGCGUGCGCUCUCGAAACGUGAAUAAACGUAUAUGUGUAUUAUACGCGUGUCCGUAGGUACAUAAUAUACGUUUAUUUUGUUUUUUAAACAUCGACUAUGUUAUGCAUCUAUGUACGAGUAUACAGAGCGUACUUGCAACGGCCUACGCGCAUACGACUUGGGAAAAUACUGCAGCAGCUCAGAUUACAAUCGCACGGGCCAAACACUCCACGYUGGGGAUACAUUUAAAUGAACACACUCGACAACAUCAACUGAACUAAACGAUAUUAAUUAUAAUGGGAAAUACAAUAUCGGAUAUGCGCACACGAAUCAAAAAAAAAAAAAUAUAAAUAAUAAAUAUACAUCCUAUAUAGCUACAUUAUGUGAUAUGUGUUUAAUAUACCUACUUUAAUUUUUACACCAAACGAUUUGUUG